AGAGAACCAUUCUCUGCUUUCAAUAGGACAGAAGAGCUCCUUGGCACUGGAUGCCUCCGGGUCUGGUUGAGAGAGGAAUGGUUAGGAGACUGUUCUGAGGAUACGCAGACAUCAUCCAAAGCUUCCUACAUUCAGAUGAGGACAGAGGUUGGGCCAGAGCUUUGUAAGCUUGUUACCUAAGGAUGGUUCUGACCAUGUAAGCAGAUCACAGAAGCUGGAGGCAAAGGAUGCCAAGAUGGGAAAGCCACAUAAUGGAAGGAUCCUGGAUUUCAGAGCUGUCACUUGGAGGAGGGGCACCCAGUGAAGAGUGGCCAUAUGGAUUUGAUCCCUAUCCUUCAGAGGUGCUCAGCCUAAGGGAACACGGAUAGUAGAUUAAGCACUGACCAGAGCCAGCCUUGACAAUGUGCUGAUGGCAACCUAGAACAUAAGCAGAGGAGUAUACAGGACAAGAACUUGAUGGUCUCGGGAAAAUGGACAACAUGACUCAGGUGAAAAAGAUUGAUCAUCAGAUGUUUCUUAUGUAUCAACCUGAUAUUUAAAUCCAUGAAGGACAGAGACGACAAAGGCAGGUGGAAUAGAUAGAGAAGAGAUUCAAGGUCUGAGCUCUACAUUACUCAAACUGUUAGAGAUUAGGAAGAAGAGGAAGACCUGGCAAAAGAAUGUCCUGGGAUGUAGAAAGAAAACCAGAAGCUUGUGUUCUCUGGAAACCAAAUGAAGAAAGGGCUUCCAGAAGGACAGACAAAGUGUAGUGUGUCAAAGGCUCCUGAGCAAUCAGAGGAGAGCACAAAGGGGCUCACAGGACUUUGGUAUCUGGAUCACCCAGUGACACUUCCUGAUCACGAGAAACUGUCAGACCAACAGGGGCACUUUCUGAAACCAGCAGUUCUUCAGUGCCCAAAUGCAACCUUGAUGGUUUGAUUUUGGAGGAUGGCAAUUCAUUAACAGCACUCCCCAGUGAUAAAUAUGAAAACCAAUAAAACCCCCCACCCAAGGCAAUCUCUCCCAGCUCCUCGCUUUGAGUAAAGUGAGUAACCUCCAUUUCUGCCAACUCCUGUCUUGUCUGAAGCCACAUUUCCCCAGCAAUGUCACAUAUGCAUUUCUUGAUCCUGGUCAUUUCUCCUCUUGGGAGAUGAAUCAUAAAGAAAAUGAGAUCUGUGUGCCCUGGUGACUAUGGAUGCAAGAGUCUGCUGCCCUGGAGGGAACAGCUGGAAAAGUAGAUGGUGAAGACGUGUGGGGGGGAAACAGUGGAGAAGGCAUCUUUGCAGGGGAUCAAGGUGACAGAGUGAUUAGUUACACUGUUUUGACAUGUGAGAACAGGGGGUUAUAAAAAUGGAUACAGGAAGAGGGAGAGAAAGUAAGGACCAAAACAUGAAGCCAGUCAUGAAUGUUUUUACAUAAAAAGCAGCAGAUUUACGGCAAAUAUGUGAUGUUUCCACAUUUUCUGCCUCUAGUUAGCAGGGGCAGCACAAAGAGCAUUACUGUGGAGCUGAACUUUGGGUAAAAGAUUAACAGCCAGUCCUUUCUCUCCAGUGUCUGCUUCCUUCUGGGCUUGCCCUGGGGGAAAAGGAGGGCUGGCAUGGAUAUGCCUGCAGCCCUCACCCUAGAUGUUCUUCCACGCCUCUCUGUUCAUUCAUUGCUUAGUCAUUCCUCAGGCAUGGAUUGAGACCACUGUGUGCCCAGGACCGACCUGGCCUAGGAUGGACAUAGAGAUGGAAAAGGCACAGGGAGCAGGUGACAGAGACAAAUCAAGGUCAUGGAGAAUAGCAGAGUAAGAUAGAAGAUGAAGGCAGGAGAUGGGGUUCUUGAGAAAGCGAGAGCAGGACUGACCCGUGUCUGCCUCACCUGUUAUUGCUGUAGCCUCUUCUCCUUGGAGUAUCCCUCCUGCUCUUGCAUCACCUUAGGAACUUGGAUCAGAGAGGAAAGUUACGGCCUGGAUAUGUUGUAGUAGGAGGGGACAAACAUGUUUGGAGACAGAAAUGCUUGGGGAGCGGGUGUUUUUGGGGGAUGAGACUUUCCAGGUCUCUCAAUUCACACUAUGUAGGUAGUUCACUGCACAGCUUAAAUAAGAGACAACUCUCCGGAGUGGUUGGCUCUCAUCCAAAAAAUGUGUUUUGGGCCUCAGAUUUCCAACGGAAGGGCUGAAGCGUGACUGGCCUGAUGUCAACUACUGAAGUCCACCUGCCCCUGCCCUAUCAGGUGUGGAAAUGCUGGGGUUCCUCUCUCAGAACCUACUUCCUGAGAUGUCGAAAUAUACCCAAGAGUAUUUCUGGGCCUUCUCCAAUCCGAAACUGUUUAGUUUUUGUGUGUGUGUGCCUACUUGGCCACACUAGAAGACAGAGGUGGCCUGGGUGAAAUGCAGGUUUCUAGAGGCUCUCUGACAAAGCUCAGGCCACCAGCCCCAGGCCAGCCUGUGGGUAGUCCUGGCUGACAGUCACUUCAUACCUCACCUGGGCUUUUUGCCAAAUUCAAAGUGUGUGUAUAUGUGGAGUGCUGGGUUCCCACCACUGACAGUCUGUAAGUCAUUCACUUAGCUCAAUUUGUCUUACUUUCUUCUGAAAUUUCUUCCUUCUUGUUCUUUUUCCCAGGAGAAACCAGGAGAAGGCAGUCCUAGGGCAGUCUCCGGGCCAGCUUUCCCUAAUAAGAAGGCAGAGCUCCUCUUCACCCAGACUUCAGACCUAUAGAGGCAGCCUGGGGUCCCGGGAUGCCCUUGCACUCAGAGAUGUCCCCAGAGUCCUAGGGAAAUGGAGGAUAACUAGGAGGAAGCUGUUCAUGGCUGGCGAUGAGGUCUAUACCUUCUUGUCCGUCUCAGUGCUGUCUGCUAUUGAAUUUUUGUGCAGAUCACAUUAACUUAAAGCCAGUUCUCAAGAAGCUCCCCCUGCCGCCGGCAUAUCCACCAGUUGCUCCCCUUUCCUGCCAUUAAUCAGGGUCUGCUAGUUAGAGAACAAAUUCCUAUUUGUCCAAACAGUUGCCAACACCCCCACCCCAAGGUAGUUAAAUGAGGAUGAAUGGGUCAUUCUUAUUAAAAAAUGACUUAAAUUUCUCAAAUUCUAUUUAUGUUUCUUUUACAUCCCAAUUUUCUAUAGAUUUAGUGACUCCAAAUGAUAAGGUCUCAAGCUCAUAAUAAUUUAUCCCUUGGGUAACACACAAGGCUUGGUGGUAUUUCAGUAAUAUUCAUGACAACAGCAGCUGUCGUGCUAAUAAGGACUGAUGUCACCAGAGCACUUUCUAUGUGCCAAGCAUGGUGCACAACACUUUACAUACAUUAUGUCAUUUAAUUUUCACAAAACCUCACAGAGGUAAAUAUUAUUAUCUUCCUCUGCAUAUAAGGAAAUGAAUGUUCGGAAAGAUUAAGUCAACUCACUGAGGUCCCAUCAGUGCUCUUUCAUAUGCCUCUGUUGCAGUCUCAUUGAACUGCUGAAAUCAGAAAAACCUGGAGACCUUGUUAACCUUCAGAUUCCUGGGCCCCAUCUUAGAUGCAGGGAGUCAGACUUCCUGGGAGUGUGGCCCUGGAAUUUUCAUUUGUAAACACAUUCCCCAAGAGACCUGUAUGCACACUAAAGUGGGAGAAUUCACGAUCUCUGGCUUUUGUGAUGUUUUAAACGCACUAUAUAAUUUCAGUAGCAAAAGAAUUGGGCUUUGGGAAGGGAGUGUGUGGUGAACCCUGAAAGCUGAAUGGACUUCCUUCCUGUGGAGGAGCAGUGGGAGAAACUGGAGGCAGAGAGCUGUGUUUCAUUCCUUGAUUGAGCCUUUGUGAGUUAUUUAAUCUCUUUCAGUCUCUAUUUUUUUCAUUUGUAAACCAGGAAGGAUACUUGUAUUUUCCAGGUGGUUGUGAGGUGUGAAAGAGAUGAGAGUAGAACAAAAUUUUAAAAGUUGAAAGCACUCAACAAAUGUAUUUGGUAUUAAUCAUGGGUUUCCCUGGGGCCGAGGAAGCCACCAGCCACCGCAGGCCUGUACACAAUGCCAGCCACCAUGUAUGGAUACGGAGGAGGCAAAAGGACUAGCGAACACUCCCAGGGACUGGAUGUCUUGAAUAUCUGUCCAACUUUCUUGGGAGGGGCCAUUUCUUCUGUAACUCAAAGGAAUUUAUUAUUUUUCAGCCAGGGAGGCAUGCUUUCUAUCUACUGCUAGUACUCCCAGACCAAGCUGUUUCAGUGGGACUGAGGUGUGACUUCUGCCUCGGUUUCAUCCAUCUGUGCAGGGAAGAGAAAAAUGCCUGCACCUCCACGGUCACACCCUCUGUUGGAACCACCUCCUUAAGCCAGAAUUAUUGAAUGUUCUCUAUGUGCCAGAAUUAUUAUUAUCUCAUUUGAUUCUCACAACAAUGCCAUGAAGUCUAUACAGACAUACCUUGGAAAUACAGCGGGUUUGGUUCCAGACCACCGCAAUAAAGCUAAUACCGCAAUAAAAUGGGUCACACGAAUUUUUUGGAUUAGGCUUCGGCUUAAGGGAAUGUUGUGGCUGGUUUGAUGUUUUAUCCAGACCGCUAACACUUUCUCCCUAUCAGCAAUGAGGCUGUUUUGCUUUCUUAUCAUUCCUGUGUUCACUGGAGUAGCACUUUUAAUUUCCUUCAAGAACUUUUCCUUUGCAUUCAUAACUUGGCUAACUGUUUGGCACAAGAGGCCUGCCUAGCUUUUGGCCUAUCUAAGCUUUUGACUUGCCUUCCUCACUGAGCUUAAUCAUCUCUAGCCUUGGAUUUAACGUGGAAAAUGUGUGACCCUUCCUUUCACUUGAACACUUGGAAGCUAUUGUAGGGUUAUUAACUGGCCUAAUUCAAUAUUAUUGUGUCUCAGGGAACAGGGAGGCCCAGAGAGAGAGAGACGGGAAAACAGAAAGUCAGUGGGGCAGGCAGAACACACACGUUUAUUUAUUAAGUUUGCUGUCAUAUGUUGGUGCAGUUCAUGCUGCCCCAAAACAAUUACAAUAACAAGAUCAAAGAUUCCUGGUCAUAGAUUGCCAUAACAGAUACAGUAAUCACGAAAAAGUUUGAGAUAUUGUGAGAAUUACGCAGAUAUUGUGAGAAAUAUGACCCAGAGACAAGAAGCGAGCACAUGCCGUUAGAAAAAUGGCACCAACAGACUUGCUUGCUGCAGGGUUACACAUACCUUCAAUUUGUAAAAAAAAAAAACUGUAAUAUCUGCAAAACGCAAUAAAGAAAAGUGUAAUAAAAUGCAGUCUGCCUGAACUUCAAUUAUUCCCAUUUUAUAGAAGAGGAAAUAGAUGCAGGGAGUUUGAUCUGCCUGAACUAGUAAAUGGUAGAACUCUGGGACUAACAUUCCUAUCCUCUAUGCUACAUUCCUAGGAAAGAACGCUCAGACAGGGUUGGACUGAGAGUGUGUUAAGCUUUGCACUGUUUUGAGCCCUCUGAAGGAGUGUCCGUAUUUGAAAGCUGGCCUCCUUCCUUUCACUGGCCCUCCACAGUGUGGCCUAAGUUAUUCAAUUAGGAAGGGAAAUAAUUGGCAGUGGAGAAUGCCUCUAGCAGUGGUAAUUACCUCCAGUGCCUUGUAGGAAUAGUCAAGCUACAUUUCAGUUUAUGCUGUAAAACCUUAAUUAUAAUAUAAACAGCUGCCCUUCAGCCCAGUGGGGCAGCCUUCCCCCGCCUUCCUUCUCUGGCCUCUGAAUGGCCCUGCCUCCUGAAUGGUCAGGGAGGUCCAGGGACGGAAGGAGACCUGGGAGGAGGGGAGCCGAUGACUAUGCGUGCGUUGGGGUUUGGAAGACUAAGCUGGAGGGAGCCACUGCCAGGGUCCCAUCUUCAAGUGAUGAAGCCAAAGGCAGCAUCCCCAUUCUUGGUACCACUCACACUGAGUCUCUUGGGGGAGCAGCCUCCAGCCAUUAGCAGUCAGCCCAGUGCCAUUAGGCUAGGAUAGGGUUUAGCAGGCUAUGGUAUCAUUUCAGGGUAACAUCUCUUUCUAUUUACUCCCCUAUAAGGGAGAACAGAGUCUUCCCUUCUAGAUCCAGACUUCCUGGCCAUGUAGGAGCCCUGUUGAGUGCCUGGUGCACUCUAGGUAGUAUGCGAGGCAUGGUUGCAAGGGUUCCCCAUUUCAACUUCACAGCACUUGGAUACACAGAAAAUUAACAUCCUCAUUUGACUAUUGAGGAAAAUGAGACUUUGAAAGUUUAAACGGAGAUAAGGCUUGGGAGGCAGACAGCCCUGUAAGUGACUUAAGUUCAGGAAGGAGAAGGACACUCAAUAUUUUUGUUCAGAGCACUGGGAAGGAGAGAGAGGGAUCAGUCACCAUCGGGCAUUUGAGAAGGUCCAGGAACAGGGGGCUGGUGAGCAGAGGGGGGAAUAACACCAGAGGGGCUGAAAUUGCUGAUUGCUGGGUUCACAGAUCUACCCACGAGCGGCCCAGGUACCCCAUGAGCGGCUGCUCUGUGUCAUCUGACCACUGGAUUGUAACCUGGGCUGAAAGAAUCAGAAGUCAGUGUGGCGAGGCAGGAGUCCUCAGAUGGUCAGAGCUGACUCUUCAACUCUUAAGGGCAAAAUGGAAAAUGUGAGCUUGUUGGUGGUCUUCGAAACACAGUAAGCAAUCCAUGCCCCUGAAGAGCAGGGAUAAUUAUAGGCAUGCCCUUGUUUUAUUGUGCUUUGCAGAUAUUGCAUGUUUUUACAAAUUGAAGAUUUAUGGCAACUCUGCAUACAGCAAAUCUAUUGAUGCCAUCUUUUUCCAAUAUCACAUGCUCACUCUGUGUCUCUGUCUCACAUUUUGGUAGUUCUCCCAAUAUUUCACACCUUAUUAUUAUUAUUAUAUCUGUUAUGAUGAUCUGUGGUCAGGGAUCUUUGAGGUUACUAUUGUAGUUGUUUUGAGGUGCCAUGAACUGCACCCAUGUAAGACAGCGAACAUAAUCAAUAAAUGUUGUGUGUUCUGACUGCUCCACCAACCGACUGUUUCCCUGUCUCUUUCUCUCUCCUCUGGCUCCCUAUUCCCUGAGGCACAAUCAUAUUGAAAUUAGGCCAAAUAAUAACCCUACAAUGGCUUCUAAAGGUUCAAGUAAAAGGAAGAGUCACAUCUCUUACUCUAAAUCAAAAGCUAGAAAUGAUUAAGCUUAGUGAGGAAGGCAUGUGGAAAGCUGAGA
rnacentral:lncRNA from 10 species